rnacentral:tRNA from 1 species
GCAGUGGUGGUUCAGUUGUAAAAUUCUCACCUUCCGUGCAGGAUACCCAGGUCUGAUUCCUGGCCAAUGCA